rnacentral:lncRNA from 1 species
AGAUUCUUUGGCACUCCAAUGAUGGAUGCUGUGCUGAAUAACAAUUCUCCUCUUGAUAAGGAGAUGGUGCAUUGGCUAAAGACAAGAUCGAACGUUUUCCUAGGGUAGUCAAAAGGAUAGUAGGCAGAGGGCAUUGGUUUUUCUCUUCGGAGAUUUUAGUCAACGACAUUCUUUUUUUCCUACUCACCUUACCUACCUAAUCAUGGGGGAUAGCUUUUAGAUGGCAGGUUGUACAGUCACCACUCCCUCCCUCCCUCCCUACCUAGCUGUAGAGAUGUAUUCGGUUAAUAACUGAUGGAUCACAGAUCAUCAUCGAUUGGAUGUAGCGUCUUUUCCUGUUGCAUAGAAUUGUUCGCCUGCUUAUGGGCUGAUGAUGUACUUGUAAAUGCAAAACAGAUGCAAUCUUAAAUUCAGCAAUGUGUUACAGCUUGCGGUGCUGCAUUUCUGUCUCCCUUGAGCCUUGAGCGAUUGUGCUAACACAAAACUUACAUGUUUCUCAUUUUAUUGAGUUUUUUUCUCUUUGCGUGGAAAAAACUUGUAUUACUCGUCAAAUGUUGUUGCAAUCAUUGUUGCAUAGCUGUGCAACACCCAUAGGUCCACUGCCUAGCCAUAUACUUGCCGUUUUACAGAUUUUAGGGGCUGUUUGGAUUUCUACCAAUGCCGACCCUACCAAAAAAUUUGGCUUGCCCGUGCGUUUUGGUGCCUGUUUGGAUCAGCGCCGAAGAAUUGGCUCGCCCAGCUUGCCCGGCUUCCGUCCGUGUUAUUCGCGCCAAUUCGUGGGCGAAACGAGUUAUGCUGAUUAUUCUGGCUCGUAACUAGCGACCCUUUUUACUCACAGGCAUUUGCGUCGUUACCGGCUGCAUGCAGCAACCAAAUACUAGUACAAAUCUGCAUGCAACAUGGUGCCGCGCAAUUAGCGACUUCCAACUGUAGUAUCUCGCUCGUGUAAUUCUCUUGGCUACCUUUUUUUCACAUUGACCGCAUCUACGUUUUAAUCUGUGUAUUUUUAAAUUUCCAAUAAUAGAUGCAUUUAAAUAUUUUCAAAACUAGUACCUGAAAUUUGAAGGAUAUAAUGGUCACAAUCCAAACAACAACACAUUGCCAAAAUUUUGGUCAUGCCCUUGCAUUGGUCAUGCCAAAAUUUUGGUAGGGCAAAUUGGGGCUCAAACCAAACAACCCUUUAAUAUAGACUACAUACAGAUGUAUAUAGACAUAUUUUAGAGCGUAAAUUCACUUAUUUUGCUUUGUAUGCAAUUCAUAUUAAAAUCUCUAAAAGGUCUUAUAUUCAGCAAUGGAGGGAGUAGCAACUAGACUAAACAAUCUAGCAUAACUAGCCAUAAAAUGGCUUACAGAGUUCUAUCAACGCCGAACAUGAGUGAUACAAUUUUCUCUUUCUAACAACUUCGGUUUGAUCUUUCGAACUAAGAAGACAUAUCUUGAUGGGUCUUUUACAUCUGUAUCCCUAACUCGAACCCACUACUCACAUUUGCCCCUAAUUCGCAAGCCUGCUCAAAAAUACCCCUCCGCCGUCAUGUUCCCUUAUAGAAUUGCCCUUCCGUGAUGUUUCCGUCCAGUCAAGGCUGUUUGACUGGUAAGCGGCCGUUUCUUUGACAUUUUUGCCCCUCCGUCCUUACACAUGGGCCCAGGCCACCAGUUCACUCUCUCUCCCUCUCAUUCUCUCGCCCGAGCCGCACGCUCUCUCUUUCUCCCCCAAAUCGCCUCCCGCCGUAACCCUAACCCUAGCUCGCUUGAUCCAACUCGCAAGGCUCGAUCUCCUGAUGGCAGCUACGGUGGAGCUUCAGAUUUGACUCUGCACGGCACUCUACUAUGGUGGUGGCGGCGGCAGAUGGAUGGGGAUAGCAGUUGCGGCGGCGGCGGCGAACGAGGGAGCACACCGCAGCCACAGAAGCAUGCUUCGGCGGGGUAAGUUUCUCUUCUAAUCUGGCGGAGUCUCAUGCCAUUUGUAGUUCGAUUUGGGAUCUGUUGACCUAGUUCAUAGAGGCUGUUUGGAUGACGCCCCAGGACGCCCUGCCAAUUCGUGGGCAAAGCCAAAAUUUUGGCGCAGCUUUCAGCCGCCCGCGACCCUGCCAACUUUGGCGAGAAAAUGAACUGGGGAAGCCCCCCACGGCCUGGGCGAGCCAACUAUUUGGUGGCCAUCCAAAGGAGCGCCAGCACUUGGUCAACUACCAAAUUUUUGGCUUGGCAGCUCCAGGCUCCAAUCCAAACAGCCCCAUAGUGCUCAUGGCGUUGGGAUCUGUCUCUGUUUCCAUGGUCAUCAUAGGAUCGACCCCGAUAGAGCAGUUGGGAUGGAAUGUAGAAUGGAAACCACACUUCUAGCUAGAGCUGGCACAAAAGCAACCAAUACAAGAUUCUCUUUUCCUUUUGUUGCUGACAAUCAAUGGACUUUUAAUCAGUUUAGAUCUGCCAUAUGUGCUCAAUAUCCAUGGGGUCUAUAUGAUGCAGUGGAAUUCAGGUACUGGGACAUUGACAAAACAGCUUGGGUCCCUGCCCAGUGUGAUGAUGAGCUUGGUAUCAUGUUUGCAAUACAUGAUUCUUUCCCUGCUAAACUAGAAAUCAGUGUCAUACAAAGGAAGAGAGGAGAGCCAGAGAGCAGAGGAACAAGAUCUCAGUCUAGGUCUAGAGAUAAAGGUAGGACCAGCCAAUCAAGGGGCACGAAAAGAAAUGCUCAUAAUAGAGGCAACAACAGUUCAAUGCAGGCACCAGGAACACCUGCUGUAGAAGUUCCUAAUAAUGCAGGUCCCUCUCAUAGUAGAGAUUCAGUUGACCCCUAUACUGAAGAGGGACUACCAGAUGAUUGGCCAAGUGAUGAUGAGGAUGAAAAGUUGUUUCCACAGUUUGUAACAAGGAAGAAGGGCAAGGAGAAAGAUGAUGAGGGGGAAGAUUAUGUUCAACCCCCUGAAGGCAUGUUUGAUGUUCUCAUUUCCUUUUUUGCUGCAUUUAAUGUUCUCGUUUCAAUUGUAGCCCAAGGAAGAACUACAAAAAGGCAGCUGAUAGAGGGAUGUCACCAGCCAAGAAGAGACUCAAGUUUGCACCAGAUCCUAUAGUAAGAUCUGUAACUGGAAGCAACCAGCUAAGAAGUGAGCAAAACUGUCACCACAAGGAGGAGUUCGAGGCUCUUAACAAACCCUGCUUGCAACACCAGGAGCAAGAAGAUGAAAGACCUGUGACUGGAAUCAUUUACUGCUGUUUUUGUUGUUUAACAACUAUUUGUGAACUUGUUAUCUGCUAUCUUAAGUGUGUGAUGCUGAAAUUGUGAACUUAUGUAAUGGUGAACUUGUGAGCUACUAUCUUGAAUGUGCAAUGCUCCUUUUGAAUAUUAUGUGAGCUGCUAUCUUGUGAGAUGCUAUUUUGUGAGUUGCUAGUUUCAAAUAUUUUUGUGAGCUCCUAUUUUGUCACAACAUAUCAUUUGUUCAAAUAUUUCAAUCUAUGCUAUUUCAGUCAUCGAUCAAAGCAAGAUUCUUGAGUCAUUUCCAAAUAGCAACAUCACAACAUUCCCAAAUCACAGCAUUGUCCUGUGAUAAUACAUACCCACACCAAGCUCCAUCACAACAUACACUACAAAGAGAAAUCCAUUUAGUAUGGAUUAUUGGACCACCUAGAAACAAAUGUGGCCACAAUGCUAAUACCAAGAACUAUGAUAAAUCCCCAUGCUUGCAUAAGCUCGUUCCUCUUUUUCAUCUUCAGCUUCGGUUUCUUGUUCUUCUCGGUUAGAUACAUCACCCUCCUCUCUAAAUCAUGAGAUUUUAGCCAGCUCUUCUCCAAUCCUACAUGAAGCUCUUCAAAUGCACGAGCAACACGUUCGGUCGGUGGCGGUUCAAUCCAUACAACCCACUCACAUUCAUCAGGAAGCUGCAAAAUCAAUGAUCGAAUUAGAAAGAGGGGAAUGAGCAGAAUCGAAUCAAGCUUAAAAGCCAAACACUUACAUCAAGAGGGAAGCCGAGAAACCUUCUGCCAGAGCUUGCUCCUCCCCAGGCGACACGACGAGCAGGAAUAAGCCCGUGGCCAGGGCACCGCUGCAUCGAGCGAACCUCAAGGCCACAGAAUGUCAGAUCGGGGAUGUAAAACUCCGAUUGAAACUGAACUAUCCUAACACCAUCAACCUAACAGCAGAAAAAAACCCAAAUUGAUGAACCCUAAUUUCGCAAUAUGCCCAUAUCUCCCCCAAAUCGACACUGAAACUUACAUUGGCGGCCACCGACGAGCUCGUAGAAGACAUCCCCGCCGUGCCCGACGUAGACAUCAUUCACCAUGCCGUGCCUGACCUGCCGCUCUCUCUCUGACUGCAGAAACGCCAGAUCCAGUACGUGCUAAAAAAUGCCCCUGUCGUCGCGAGGAAGAAGAAAGAGGGGAGAGAGAGUGAACCGGUUAGUUGGGCCCAGAUGUACGGCAGGAGGGGCAAAAAUGUCAAAGAAACGACACGUUAGCGGUCAAACAACCUUGACUGGACGGAAACGGCUCGGAGGGGCAUUUCUAUAAGGGCACAUCACGGCGGAGGGGCAUUUUUGAGCAGGCUUUGGAAUUAGGGGUAUAUCUGAUUAGGUGGUUCGAGUUAGGGACAGAAAUGCAAAUGGCCCUAUCUUGAUCUAUCUUGCUUCUCAUUUUUCAUCAUAUUAUGGCUUCCAUACAAUCAUAUUCCACAUUGAUAGAGGCGAGGGUGUCCCGAUCUUUCGAUGAGAUGAUAACUCUCGAUUUGGUGGAGUCAACUUUGACGAUCCGACUUCAAACAUGCAUGACGUUGCGCCUUAGCAAUCGCUAAACCAAUCUCCUGAGGUUACUGACGAUGCUGGAAGCACGAUCAGCCUGACCACGAAGGUCUAUUCCUGCAAUCAAUCAAAGAACAAGCAAAAACAUGAUAAUGCAAUCUGAAUAUUGCAAAUAUAGAUGAAGUAUUGAUAAAGGUGGGGAUCCGAAAGCGGUCUUGGUCUGGUCGUUGGACACAAACGAAGUACACGAAGUUGCAAUGGCUAACUUUUAACUAAACAAAUCCCAAGGAAAAAGCUACUAGAUGGAUCUAUUUAUAUAGAAGCAAGGGAUGGUGGCCAAGGAGGUGGGAGGACAUCCCAAGGCAGCCUAAAACUAACCCUAGGUUGUACAAGGCUCAUGGGCCCAAGUGGAGGUGGUGCAACACCUUUGGACUUGUUGUUUGACUCGGAUUCUGCUGCAGCGUCAAAUUGUUUCGUCGAUAUCUCAAUGCUCUGGACGAAUUUGAAGGUGAUUCCAAGUUGGUUGGAAAGAACACGAAAUCUACUUUCCAACAAAAAAAGAAUCACCCAAUUCGGAGUCCGUAUAAAAAAGUUGUUGACGUUUUGAGUCAGGUAUGUCUGUGCAGUCUGAAUCUGAAUCCAGAACGUGAGAGACUUGGACUCUAUCUUCUCUUGGCCCAAAAGUGACGUGAGAGGACUUUUUGAACAGAACCUAAACUUCUCCUUUUCCCAUAUCUUCAUAUGUGGAUUGUAAAAAUAUCCCGUACACCUGCAAUUAGACAAAACACAAAAGUGUGUGAAGUAUUUUUGUUCUGGAUAACAUAAAUAGAUUAUUGAAUAGUUUGCACUAGAAAUCACCUGACAAAUAUGCAUGUAUGCAAUAUUUUUGGUCGUAUCCAAGGUAGUCAUGUCCUCAUAACACAUGAAGCGAAAGAUUGCUCCGAGGGAAAUUCCUCCAGAAAGAGUAUUUAGUUCUAUUUCAAGCACAUCAUGGCAUGAUAAACGAUAUAACAAGCGGUAAAUAUGAUCUUCCCUUAAGUAUCCCGAAGGACCAUGCCUGUUGUUGUGGAUCCAUUCUAGGCAAACGAUCCGUCAGUGUUCUUCACGGAACCUUGUUUUGGUGGUGUCCAGGAAACCUUUUAUUGAGUUAGAGCUAAGCCUUGGGGGCUAAGGCAUAGGGGAUGGUUAGGGUUUGGCGCACCCCAUCUCCCUAGGAGAAGGCAACCCCUCUUCCCAGCAUUGGCCCUCCCUUGUGCCUAUAACUAUGCGAGGAGGAUCCCUCCAACACAUCCUUUUGUGCUUGGAGGCUGUUGAAGGAAAUAUGCCCUAGAGGCAAUAAUAAAGUUGUUAUUUAUAUUUCCUUAUAUCAUGAUAAAUGUUUAUUAUUCAUGCUAGAAUUGUAUUAACCGGAAACUUAGUACAUGUGUGAAUACAUAGACAAACAGAGUGUCACUAGUAUGCCUCUACUUGACUAGCUCGUUGAAUCAAAGAUGGUUAAGUUUCCUAGCCAUAGACAUGAGUUGUCAUUUGAUUAACGGGAUCACAUCAUUAGAGAAUGAUGUGAUUGACUUGACCCAUCCGUUAGCUUAGCAUGAUGAUCGUUUAGUUUGUUGCUAUUGCUUUCUCCAUAACUUAUACAUGUUCCUAUGACUAUGAGAUCAUGCAACUCCCGAAUACCGGAGGAACACUUUGUGUGCUACCAAACGUCACAACAUAACUGGGUGAUUAUAAAGGUGCUCUACAGGUGUCUCCUAUGGUGUUUGUUGAGUUGGCAUAGAUCGAGAUUAGGAUUUGUCACUCCGAUUGUCGGAGAGGUAUCUUUGGGCCCUCUCGAUAAUGCACAUCAAUAUAAGCCUUACAAGCAAUGUGACUAAUGAGUUAGUUUCGGGAUGAUGCAUUACAGAAUGAGUAAAGAGACUUGCCGGUAACGAGAUUGAACUAGGUAUUGAGAUACCGACGUUCAAAUCUCGGGCAAGUAACAUACCAACGACAAAGGGAACAUUGUAUAUCGUUAUGUGGUUUGACCGAUAAAGAUCUUCGUAGAAUAUGUGGGAGCCAAUAUGAACAUCCAGGUUCCGCUAUUGGUUAUUGACCGAAGACAUGUCUCGGUCAUGUCUACAUAGUUCUCGAACCCGUAGGGUCCGCAUGCUUAAUGUUCGGUGAUGAUCGGUAUUAUGAGUUUAUGUGUUUUGAUAAAUCGAAGGUUGUUCGGAGUCCCAGAUGUGCUCACGGGCAUGACGAGGAGUCUCGAAAUGGUCGAGACAUAAAGAUCGAUAUAUUGGAAGCCUAUGUUUGGACAUCGGAAAGGUUCCGAGUGAGUUCGGGCAUAUACCGGAGUACCGGGGGGUUACCAGAACCCCUCGGGGAGUAUAUGGGCCCUAAUGGGCUUUAGUGGAGAGAGAGAGAGAGAGGCAGCCAGGGCAGGCUGCGCGCCCCCUCCCCCUCUGGUCCGAUUUGGACUAGGAAGGGGGGGGGGGCGCCCCCCUUUCCUUCCUCCCUCUCCCCCUUCCUUCUCUCCUAGUCCAACUAGGGAAGGGGGGGGGAUCCUACUCCCGGAGGGAGUAGGACUCCUCCAGGGCGUGCCAUAGAGGGCCGGCCCUCCCCCCUCCUCCACUCCUUUAUAUACGGGGGAGGGGGCACCCCAUAGACACACAAGUUGAUCAUUGAUCUUUUAGUCGUGUGCAGUGCCCCCUCCACCAUAAUCCACCUCGGUAAUAUUGUAGCGGUGCUUAGGCGAAGCCCUGUUCCGGUAGCAACAUCAUCACCGUCAUCAUGCCGUCGUGCUGAUGAAGCUCUCCCUCGAAGCUCUACUGGAUCGUGAGUUCGCGGGACGUCACCGAGCCGAACGUGUGGAGAUUGCGGAGGUGCCGUAUCUUCGGUGCUAGAUCGAUCGAUCAUGAAGACGUACGACUACAUCAACGGCGUUGUCAUAACGCUUCCGCUUACGGUCUACGAGGGUACGUAGAUAAUACUCUCCCCUCUCGUUGCUAUGCAUCACCAUGAUCUUGCGUGUGCGUAGGAUUUUUUUUGAAAUUACUGCGUUCCCCAACGGUGGCAUCCGAGCCAGGUCUAUGCAUAGAUGUUAUAUGCAUGAGUAGAACACAAAGGAGUUGUGGGCGUAGGUAUAUACAUAUUGCUUGCCAUCACUAGUUGAUUUUUGAUUCAGCGGCAUUGUUGGAUGAAGCGGCCCGGACCGACAUUACGCGUACGCUUAUGCGAGACUGGUUCUACCGACGUACUUUGCACACAUGUGGCUAGUGGGUGUCUGUUUCUCCAGCUUUAGUUGAAUCGGAUUCAAUGAAUAGGGUUCUUUCUGAAGAUCAAAAAGCAAGCACUAUACCACGUUGUGGUUUUUGAUGCGUAGGUAAGAACAGUUCUUGCUCAGCUCGUAGCAGCCACGUAAAACUUGCAACAACAAAGUAGAGGAUGUCUAACUUGUUUUUGCAGGGCAUGUUGUGAUGUGAUAUGGUCAAGACAUGAUGCUAAAUUUUAUUGUAUGAGAUGAUCAUGUUUUGUAACACAGUUAUCGGCAACUGGCAGGAGCCAUAUGGUUGUCGCUUUAUUGUAUGAAAUGCAAUCACCAUGUAAUUGCUUUACUUUAUCACUAAGCGGUAGCGAUAAUCGUAGAAGCAAUAGUUGGCGAGAGGACAACGAUGCUUCGAAGGAAAUCAAGGUGUCAAGCCGGUGACGAUGGUGAUCAUGACGGUGCUUUGGAGAUGGAGUUUAAAGGCACAAGAUGAUGAUGGCCAUAUCAUAACACUUAUAUUGAUUGCAUGUGAUGUUUAUCCUUUAUGCAUCUUAUUUUGCUUAGUUCGGCGGUAGCAUUAUAAGAUGAUCUCUCACUAAAUUUUAAGGUAUAAGUGUUCUCCCUGAGUAUGCACAAUUGCUACAGUUUGUCGUGCCGAGACACCACAUGAUGAUCGGGUGUGAUAAGCUCUACGUUCACAUACAAUGGGUGCAAGCCAGUUUUGCACACGCGGAAUACUCGGGUUAAACUUGACGAGCCUAGCAUAUGCAUAUGUGGCCUCGGAACACUGGAGACCGAAAGGUCGAGCAUGAAUCAUAUAGUAGAUAUGAUCAACAUAGUGAUGUUCACCAUUGAAAACUACUCCAUCUCACAUGAUGAUUGGACAUGGUUUAGUUGAUAUGGAUCACGUGAUCACUUAGAUGAUUAGGGAGAUGUCUAUCUGAGUGGGAGUUCUUAAGUAAUUUGAUUAAUUGAACUUUAAUUUAUCAUGAACUUUGUACCUAAUAGUUUUUUGCAUGUCUAUGUUGUUGUAGAUAGAUGGCCCAUGCUGUUGUUCCGUUGAAUUUUAAUGCGUUCCUAGAGAAAGCUAAGUUGAAAGAUGAUGGUAGCAACUAUACGGACUGGGUCCGUAACUUGAGGAUUAUCCUCAUUGCUGCAUAGAAGAAUUACGUCCUGGAAGCACCGCUAGGUGACAAACCCGCUGCAGGAGCAACGCGAGAUAUUAUGAACACUUGGCAGAGCAAAGCUGAUGACUACUCGAUAGUUCAGUGUGCCAUGCUUUACGGCUUAGAACUGGGACUUCAACGACGUUUUGAACGUCAUGGAGCAUAUGAGAUGUUCCAGGAGUUGAAGUUAAUAUUUCAAGCAAAUGCUCGGAUUGAGAGAUAUGAAAUCUCCAAUAAGUUCUACAACUGCAAGAUGGAGGGGAAUAGUUCUGUUACUCAGAACGUCUGGGUACCACAACCACUUGACUCAACUAGGGGUUAAUCUUCCUGAUGAUAGUGUCAUUGACGGAGUUCUUCAAUCACUUCCACCAAGCUAAAGAGCUUCGUGAUGAACUAUAAUAUGCAAGGGAUGGAUAAGACGAUUCCUGAGCUCUUCGUAAUGCUAAAGGCUGCGGAGGUAGAAAUCAAGAAGGAGCAUCAAGUGUUGAUGGUCAAUAAGACCACCAGUUUCAAGAAAAAGGGUAAAGGGAAGAAGGGGAACUUCAAGAAGAACAGCAAGCCAAUUGCUGCUCAAGUGAAGAAACCCAAGUCUGGACCUAUGCCUGAGACUGAGUGCUUCUACUACAAAGGAACUGGUCAUUGGAAGCGGAACUGCCCCAAGUAUUUGGCGGAGAAGAAGGAUGGCAAAGUUAAAGGUAUAUUUGAUAUACUCCCUCCGUUCCUAAAUAUUUGUAUUUUUAGAGGUUUCAAAUGGUGACUAUAUACGAAGCAAAAUGAGUGAAUCUACACUCUAAAAUAUGUCUAUAUACAUCCGUAUGUGGUGGCCAUUUGAAAUCUCUAGAAAGACAAAUAUUUAGGAACGGAGGGAGUACAUGUUAUCGAUGUGUACCUUACUAAUGCUCGCAGUAGUGCCUGGGUAUUUGAUACUGGUUUAGUUGCUAACAUUUACAACUCGAAACAGGGGCUACGGAUUAAGCGAAAAUUCGCUAAGGACGAGGUGACGACGCGCAUGGGAAAUGGUUCCAAAGUUGAUGUGAUCGCCAUCGGCACGCUACCUCUACAUCUACCUUCCGGAUUAGUUUUAGACCUAAAUAAUUGUUAUUUGGUGCCAACAUUGACCAUUAACAUUAUAUCAAGAUCUUUUUUGAUGCGAGACAGUUAUUCAUUUAAAUCAGAGAAUAAUGGUUGUUCUAUUUAUAUGAGUAAUAUCUUUUAUGGUCAUGCACCCUUGAUGAGUGGUCUAUUUUUACUAAAUCUUGAUAGUAGUGAUACACAUGUUCAUAGUAUUAAAGUCAAAAGAUGCAGAGUUGAUAAUGAUAGUGCAACUUAUUUGGGGCACUGCCGUUUGGGUCAUAUUGGUGUAAAGCGCACGAAGAAACUCCAUUCUGAUGGACUUCUAGAAUCACUUGAUUAUGAAUCACUUAGUACUUGCGAACCAUGCCUCAUGGGCAAGAUGACUAAACCUCCAUUCUCCGGAACAAUGGAGCGAGCAAUAGAGUUAUUGGAAAUCAUACAUACUGAUGUAUGUGGUCCAAUGAACAUUGAAGCUCGCGGCGGAUAUCGUUAUUUUCUCACCUUCAUAGAUGAUUUGAUAAGAUAUGAGUAUAUCUACUUAAUGAAACAUAAGUCUGAAACAUUUGAAAAGUUCAAAGAAUUUCAGAGUGAAGUGGAAAAUCAUUGUAACAAGAAAAUCAAGUUUCUGCGAUCUGAUCGUGGAGGUGAAUAUUUGAGUUAUGAGUUUGGACUUCAUUUGAAACAAUGCGGAAUAGUUUCACAACUCACGCCACCUGGAACACCACAGCGUAAUGGUGUGUCCGAAUGUCAUAAUCGUACUUUACUAGAUAUGGUGCGAUCUAUGAUAUCUCUUACUGAUUUACCGCUAUCGUUUUGGGGUUAUGCUUUAGAGACGGCUGCAUUCACAUUAAACAGGGCACUUUCUAAAUCCGUUGAGACGACACCUUAUGAACUGUGGUUUGGCAAGAAACUCAAGUUGUCGUUUCUUAAAGUUUGGGGCUGCGAUGCUUAUGUGAAAAAGCUUCAACUUGAUAAGCUCGAACCCAAAUAGGAGAAAUAUGUCUUCAUAGGAUACCAAAGGAGACUGUUGGGUACACCUUCUAUCACAUAUCCGAAGGCAAGAUAUUCGUUGCUAAGAAUGGAUCCUUUCUAGAGAAAGAGUUUCUCUCGAAAGAAGUGAGUGGGAGGAAAGUAGAACUUGAUGAGGUAAUUGUACCUACUCCCUUAUUGGAAAGUAGUUCAUCAUUGAAAUCAGUUCCAGUGAUUCCUACACCAGUAAAUGAGGAAGCUAAUGAUGAUCAUCAUGAAACUUCUGAUCAAGUUAUACCGAACCUCGUAGGUCAACCAGAGUAAGAUCCGCACCAGAGUGGUACGGUAAUCCUGUUCUGGAGGUCAUGUUACUUGACCAUGACGAACCUACGAACUAUGAGGAAGCGAUGAUGAGCCCAGAUUUCGCAAAAUGGCUUGAGGCCAUGGAAUCUGAGAUGGGAUCCAUGUAUGAGAAAAAAUUAUGGACUUUGGUUGACUUGCCCGAUGAUCGGCAGGCCAUAGAGAAUAAAUGGAUCUUCAAGAAGAAGACUGACGCUAACGGUAAUAUUACUGUCUACAAAGCUCGACUUGUUGCAAAAGGUUUUUGACAAGUUCAAGGAGUUGACUACGAUGAGACCUUCUCACCCGUAGCGAUGCUUAAGUCCGUCCGAAUCAUGUUAGUAAUUGCUGCAUUUUAUGAUUAUGAAAUUUGGUAAAUGGAUGUCAAAACUGCAUUCUUAAUGGAUAUCUUAAAGAAGAGUUGUAUAUGAUGCAACCAGAAGGUUUUGUCGAUCCAAAAGGUGCUAACAAAGUGUGCAAGCUCCAGCGAUCCAUUUAUGGACUGGUGCAAGCCUCUCAGAGUUGGAAUAUACACUUUGAUAGUGUGAUCAAAGCAUAUGGUUUUAUACAGACUUUUGGAGAAGCCUGUAUUUACAAGAAAGUGAGUGGGAGCUCUGUAGCAUUUCUAAUAUUAUAUGUAGAUGACAUAUUGUUGAUCGGAAAUGAUACUGAAUUUCUAAAUAGCAUAAAAGGAUACUUGAAUAAGAAUUUUUCAAUGAAAGACCUCGGUGAAGCUGCUUAUAUAUUGGGCUUCAAGAUCUAUAGAGAUAGAUCAAGACGCUUAAUUGUACUUUCACAAAGCACAUACCUUGAUAAAAUUGAAGAAGUUCAAAAUGGAUUAAGCAAAGAAAGGGUUCUUGCCCAUGUUACAAGGUGUGAAGUUCAGUCAGACUCAAUGCCCGAUCACUACAGAAGAUAGAGAGAAAAUGAAAAGUGUUCCCUAUGCUUCAACCAUAGGCUCUAUCAUGUAUGCAAUGCUAUGUACCAGACCUGAUGUGUGCCUUGCUAUCAGUUUAGCACGGAGGUACCAAAGUAAUCCAGGAGUGGAUCACUGGACAACGGUCAAGAACAUCCUGAAAUACCUAAAAAGGACUAAGGAUAUGUUUCUCGUUUAUGGAGGUGACAAAUAACUCAUCGUAAAUGGUUACGUCGAUGCAAGCUUUGACACAGAUCCGGAUGACUCUAAGUCACAAACCGGAUACGUAUUUAUAUUGAACGGUGGAACUGUCAGUUGGUGCAAUUCUAAACAAAGCAUGUGGCGGGAUCUACGUGUGAAGCAGAGUACAUAGCUUCUUAGGAAGUAGUAAAUGAAGGAGUCUGGAUGAAGGACUUCAUAUCCGAUCUAGGUGUCAUACUGAAAGCACAAGUGCUCCCUGGGUGAUUUUGAUAAUUAAUGACAACAUAUCUCUUGUUGGACUAAUACUUUUACCUAGUAUGUUUCAGACAAGUUCAACAAAUUAAGUGGCAUGGACUAAAGGAUGUGGAACCCCUUCAAGAUUCUAAGGACAAAGGAUUAGCUCAAGCUUCAAGAUCAAGACUCUACAUUUUCUAUUUUAGUGAUCCAAGAUCACAUUGAGUCUAUAGGAAAAGCCAAUACUAUCAAGAGGGGAUGAGGUGUUGCAUAAUGGCUUGCUUGCUCAAAGUGCUUAGUGAUAUGCUCCAAAACCCUCAACUACCUUCCCACAUCCAAAUAUGACCUAAAUCAAAAGUCAAACUCGGCCCCACCCAUUCUUUCUAUCCGGAGCCACCGAGUUCAGUUGACAUAGCCACUGCCAGAAACCCUAAUCAGUUCGAUGUCACCGAUGGGAUCUCGGUCUCACGGAGAUGGGCUUGCAAACUCUCUAUUACCUAUUGCAAUAUUUUUGGUCCCAACGAGAUAUGCAAUCAGCCCCACCGAGUUUGCUUGGCCAACUCUCUAUUUCACUUAUUACCCAAAUCGAUCCCACUGAGUUUGAGUAAUCGGUCAAACGGAGUUUUGGAUUUACCCUAACCCUAGCACAUCGGUCCCACCGAGUUGAUCCAGUCGGUCCCACCAAAAACCCUAACGGUCACUAGAUUUGCUGAAUCGGUCCGACCGAGUUGAUCAAUUCGGUCCCACCGAGAUUGGAAAGUUGUGUGUAAUGGUUAGAUUUUGUGUGGAGGCUAUAUAUACCCCUCCACCCACUCUUCAUUCGUGGAGAGAGCCAUCAGAACAUACCUACACUUUCAAUACACAUUUUCUGAGAGAGAACCACCUACUCAUGUGUUGAGGCCAAGAUAUUCCAUUCCCACCAUAUGAAUCUUGAUCUCUAGCCUUCCCCAAGUUGCUUUCCACUCAAAUCUUUUUUCCACCAAAUCCAUAUCCUAUGAGAGAGAGCUGAGUGUUGGGGAGACUAUCAUUUGAAGCACAAGAGCAAGGAGUUCAUCAUCAACACACCAUUUGUUACUUCUUGGAGAGUGGUGUCUCCUAGAUUGGCUAGGUGUCACUUGGGAGCCUCUGACAAGAUUGUGGAGUUGAACCAAGGAGUUUGUAAGGGCAAGGAGAUCGCCUACUUCAUGAAGAUCUACCGCUAGUGAGGCAAGUCCUUCAUGGGCCAAAACAUCCAUGGACUCGCGCAACCGUUACCCUUCAUGGGUUGAAGUCUCCAUCAACGUGGAUGUAUGAUAGCACCACCUAUCGGAACCACGACAAAAACAUCCGUGUCUCCAAUUGCGUUUGAAUUCUCCAAACCCUUCCCUUUACAUUCUUGCAAGUUGCAUGCUUUAUUUUCCGCUGCUCAUAUACUCUUUGCAUGCUUGCUUGAUAUGUAUUGUGUUUGUUAAACUUGUGCCAAAAUUCCACUUCAACUUAAAGAAAUUAAAAACUGCAACUUUUGGUACUUAGUGUCUAAUCACCCCCCUCUAGACACCUCUUCUCGAUCCUUUCAAUUGGUAUUAGAGCUUUGGUUUCCAUUGCCUUGGUUUAAACACCAUUGUAGGAAGAUGGAUGUGUCUACUUUGGGGAGUCUUAGACAUAGAGUGCCUAUUCUUGAUGGAGAAUAUUUUCAUGAUUGGAAAAAUGAAAUGCUUGAGAUUUUCAAUGAAUAUCAUUUGAGCAAGUAUAUUGCUAGCCCUUGUGCACCUCAUGUUGAUCCCAUGCAUCCUACCCUUGAUGAGUCAAUUGACAUGAUUCACAAUCUUAGAACUGUUAAUCUUAUCACUAGAGGCUUGCCUAGAAAUUUGAUUGCUAGUUUGCCUACUCUUGAUUGUGCCUAUACUAUAUGGAAAUUUCUUGAGGAACGAUUUCCAGAUUAUUCCUUGAAAGAUCUAGAUGAAAUCCUCCAUAAGUCUAUUGCCUUGAUUAAGAUGAGUUCCAAUGAUCCCAAAUUUGGUGACUGCUUAUUUGAGCUUAAUAAUCUUACGAGUGCCAAAGGAGAUGUUGGAAUCAUUAGCAAUAUCAUUUCCAGAGCUAUUAGAAUUCAUAAAGAUAACUAUAGAAAUGAUCAUUUGUCUAAUGAAUUACCCUCUCUAGGAAUUGAUCAAUCACAAAAUGAUGUUGAAAAUGGAUACUAUGAUGAGGAUGAUGAUAGUGACUAUGAUCUCGAUGAUGCGAUGAGACACUUUGGUAUUAUGGAAAAUCUUCGCGGCUACAUGGCUGGAGGAAAGGAAUGGGUCCUUGAUAGUGGAUGUACUGAUCAUAUGACUGGAGAUAAAGACAUGUUCCAUGAGCUUGCUGAAAACGACGGCCCUCGAAAGUAUGUCACUUUUGGUGAUAAUUCAAAGGGUAAGGUGGUUGGCCUUGGUAAGGUGGCCAUAUCACAUGAUAGCUCCAUACAAAAUUUCAUGCUCGUUGAAUCUCUUGGCUACAACUUACUUUCAGUAUCUAGACUUGCUGAUUUCGGUUUCAAUGUCCUAUUUACUGAAGUAGACUGCCAAGUGUUUCAUAGAGAUAAUCAUAAAAUGAUCUUAUACCGGUAUAUGUAGAGGAGAUCUUUACAUUGUUGAUUUCACUAAAAAGGCUCAACCUAGAACUUACUUAAUUGCUAAAUCUUCUAAAGGCUGGUUGUGGCAUAGAAGGCUAGGCCAUGUGGGCAUGCGAAACCUUGACAAACUCAUUAAAGGAAAUCAUAUCCUUGGCGUUAACGAUGUCAUAUUUGACAAGGAUAGACUUUGUAGUGCUUGUCAAGCAGGGAAACAAGUUGGAGGAAGUCAUCACGCUAAGAACAUUAUGACCACAAGAAGACCACUCGAGCUACUUCACAUGGAUCUCUUUGGUCCAAAUGCCUACAGGAGUCUCGGUGGUAACUCAUUUGGUCUAGUCAUAGUUGAUGAUUUUUCAAGAUUUACGUGGGUUUUCUUUCUUGAUGAAAAAUCGCAGGUCCAAAAGAUCUUCAAAAACUUUGCUAGGAAGGCCCAAAAUCAAUUUGACGUGAAGAUCAAGAAGGUUCGGAGCGACAAUGGAAUGGAGUUCAAGAACGCAAAUGUGGACACCUUUCUUGACGAAGAAGGGAUUACACAUGAGUUCUCGGCUACAUACACACCUCGACAAAAUGGAGUCGUUGAGAGGAAGAACCGGACUCUUAUCGAGAUGGCAAGAACGAUACUUGAUGAGUACAAGUCGCCAGAACACUUUUGGGCGGAAGCGGUUGAGACAGCUUGUCAUGUAACAAAUCGCUUGUAUCUUCACAAGCUACUCGGAAAGAUGGCAUACGAGCUCCUCACCGAUAACAAACCCCAAGUUGGAUACUUUCGAGUAUUCGGCUCAAAGUGCUACAUUCUUGAUAAGCAUCAUCGUUCUAAAUUUGUUCCUAAGUCUCAUGAAGGUUUCCUACUUGGUUAUGGCUCAAACUCUCACACAUACCGUGUCUACAACAAUUUCACCCGAAAGGUUGAAGAAACGGUAGAUGUGAAGUUUGAUGAAUCUAACGGCUCGCAAGUAGAGCAAUUGCCAAUUGAUGUAGGAGACAAAGAUCCCUCGAAAGCAAUCCAAGACUUGUAUAUUGGCAAGAUUCGUCCAACGGAGAUAAAGGAGAGUACCUCGUCCGUCCAAGCGGAAGCUUCUACCUCACGACAAGGUGAACCAAGAGUUGAUACGGAAGCAUCCACGAGUGGGACACACCAAGAUGAAGAAAACGAGGAAGUGCACCAAGACGAACGUCAACAACCUCCUUCUCCACCACGAUAAGAGAACGACAACGCUAACAAUGAAGAAGGCCAAGAAGAAGAACAAGAUGAAGAAGAUGUUCAACCAAGACCCAAGCAAAAGCUUUCAUGAGUUCGAGCAAGAAUUGCUAAAGAUCAUCCCGUGGAGCAAAUCUACAAUGAUAUCCAAACCGGGAGAAUCACUCGCUCUAAAACUCGUUUGGCUAACUUUUGUGAACAUUACUCAUUCAUCUCUAGAAUUGAACCUAUGAAGGUUGAAGAAGCAUUGGAGGAUCUGGACUGGAUAAAUGCUAUGCAUGAAGAGCUACACAACUUUGAGAGAAAUCAAGUGUGGACAUUGGUCGAGAAGCCCGACAACAACCACAACAUCAUCGAUACCAAAUGGGUGUUUCGCAACAAGCAAGAUGAAGAUGGACAAGUGGUUCACAACAAAGCAUGUCUCGUCGCCCAAGGCUACACACAAGUCGAAGGUAUGGACUAUGGUGAUACAUAUGCUCCCGUUGCUAGAUUUGAGUCCAUUCGCAUCUUACUUGCCUAUGCUAAUCGCCAUGAUAUCACUUUGUACCAAAUGGACAUUAAAAGUGCUUUUCUAAAUGGUGAAAUUGAGGAGGAAGUUUAUGUUAAGCAACCUCCCGGCUUUGUCAAUCCUAAGAAACCUAAUCAUGUCUACGAACUUCACAAAGCGCUUUAUGGUCUUAAACAAGUUCCUAGAGCAUGGUAUAAAUGCUUGCCCAAGUUCCUUAUUGAAAAAGGCUUUGAAAUUGGAAAAAUAGAUUCUACUCUUUUUACUAAAAGGGUUAAUGGAGAACUAUUUGUAUGCCAAAUUUAUGUUGACAAUAUUAUAUUUGGAUCAACUAACCCUCAUUUUAGUGAAAAGUUUGGGAAGCUAAUGUGGGAGAAGUUUGAGAUGUCUAUGAUGAGUGAACUCAAAUUCUUCCUUGGUUUGCAAAUCAAGCAAACUCAGGAAGGCACCUUUGUCUCUCAAACGAAGUACACCAAGGACUUAUUCAAGAAGUUCAAUAUGCAAGAAUGCAAAGGUAUGACUACACCCAUGCCUACUAGUGGACAUCUUGAUUUGACCACAGAUGGUGAACCGGUUGAUCAAAAAGUUUACCGCUCUAUGAUUGGUUCAUUGUUAUAUCUAUGUGCUUCAUGUCCCGAUAUCAUGCUAAGUGUGUGCAUGUGUGCACGAUAUCAAGAUGCUCCUAAGGAAUGUCAUCUUAAGGCCGUGGAGAGGAUAGUGAGAUACUUAACACAUACACCAAAUUUGGCAUUUGGUAUCCAAAGGGGGCUUCCUUUGAUCUUGUUGGCUACUCCGACUCGGACUAUGCCGGUGACAAGGUUGAUAGAAAGUCCACUUCGGGUACUUGUCAAUUCCUUGGUAGAUCUCUUGUGUCUUGGUCUUCCAAGAAACAAAACUCGGUAUCCUUAUCCACUGUCGAAGCGGAAUACAUUGCCGCUGGUUCAUGUUGUGCUCAAUUACUCUGGAUGACCCAAACUCUUAAAGAUUAUGGGAUAUAUGUGAAACAUGUUCCAUUACUUUGUGACAAUGAAAGUGUUAUCAAGAUUGCUCACAAUCCCAUGCAACACUCUCGAACUAAGCAUAUUGAAGUUCGUCAUCAUUUCAUUCGAGAUUACGUUGCUAAGGGUGACAUAAACCUUAAGCAUGUUUGCACCGAUAAGCAAUUAGCGGAUAUAUUCACUAAACCACUUGAUGAGAAAGUGUUUUGCAGGUUAAGAGGUGAAUUGAACAUCAUUGAUGCUUCAAACUUGGAGUAGGAACUCCAUUGGAUACAUGCAAGGCUUGAGCUUAUGACUAAUCACUUGAUAUUUCUCCUAUGAUGAUUAUCUCAUGUCUUGAAAAUUUGCAUCUUGCAUGUUAUCUAACCCUUGUAGGUACUUGGAUGAACCUAAUUCUAUGAGAUUGCAACUCACUCACAUCUUGAGCAAUCUCUACAUCACCAAGUCUCUACACAAUGGUGGUUGAUGACAAGGAAGCACGAAACCUUUCAAACAUAUCCUUUGACAAAUUCUAUGUUGAGCUUCAUGAUUGUCAUGUUGGAUACACAAGUGCUCUUCCUUGCGAAAACUAACCCAUGUAGGUAGAUGAACUCAAAAUCCAAAGGGUGCUCCCAACUCUUGAUGGGCUACAUCAACCUUGAGCAACCCACACAAGUUCAACUACAUGAUCAAGAUCAACACCGCCACCCAAGGUAUGUUAUUCCAUCUUAGAGUAGCUUUACUCCAAGUCAUGAGUCAAAGCAACUCGACAAGAUGUGAAUACAUCAAGAUACUUAAAUGAAAAAUGGUAACCCCAUUUUGAGCUUAAAUGAUGAGUACGACCUAUGAUCAAGUGAUCUCACUUGACACCUAAGUCAAUAUACUCUAACAUAGGUGACUUUGUUACCGCCCAACUCUAGAUGAAGUUCUCUUGUGUUCUUUUAUGUGUUCUUGCAUUUGUCUCAUGCAUAUUUGUUUCCCCUUUCAAAAAAAACUUCAUCUAGAUCUUUUAGUUUCUUUUCUUUGCUUUUUGUUCUGCAUUUUCGGCAUCCAAUUCAUUGCAAAUCUUUGUGAAAUCUUACUUGUCCAGUGAGCUGAGGUGACAAGUGUUUUUCUCUGUGAUGAACUCAGUCCCACCGGUUUCAUGUCUCCGGUCUAGCCGAAGAUUUUCGGAGCAACCGAAGCAUACAACUUGGUGACACCAAUUUCACUACAGGAAAAACAUUUUGCCAUUUAUUCCUGCUUUAUUCUUGAUCCAGUUCCACUCAAUGAAUCUUGUCCUCUGCAAGCAUCAGAUUUACUUUAAUGCUUUGUACUGUGAUUCAAGGACCGAACCCAUUCACAACAAAUUCCAGAAGACCCUUCUUGGAAAUUGAUGUCAAAGGGGGAGAGAGAGAUCACAUCAAAGCUUAAUCAUAUCUCUAGGGGGAGGGAACACUCCAGGAAAGAGUAAUCUUCAAGGAUCCCAGAUGCUUGUUGUUCAAGAGGAGAGAUGCCACAUGUCUUCUUGGGGGAAAGGCAUGUUAAUAUGUGCUUAUUUGCAUUAGCUCUAUUCAUUUGUUUCUUUGAGCUCUAUUUUUCUGUUCCCUAUCUUCUCCCAGUAUCCCGUGCUAGAUUCAGGGGGAGCAAGACAUCCAAGGGAUUUUUUUUAUUAAAUUCAUUGCAUAUCUUUCUCUUUGGGGACAUGUCAAUAUCUAUCGUGGUACUCUGUACUCACUCUACAUGUCAUCCCAGUCUUGGUACUCUUGUGGUUUCUUUUGUUUGCUCUAGCUAGUGGGUGCAUCUGUGUUAUCUAACCUUGUUUACGCAGGCUCAUCCCAUCCUAGCCAACUCAAGACCACAAGGUAAUUAUGUGCAUCAUAGUCAUGUGUAUGAGAAAUUCUUACUGAUGUACAUACUGUUUGCAAGAAGGACUCAUGGGCAUGAAGGUACAUUUCCCAUAUUCAUAUCUUUUGCCCUGAUGCAUAUAGCCAAGAUACAUGUAACACAUUGCUACUCUGUCAUGAUUAUGCUCUCACAUGCUUCUAUAUUCCAUAUUCACAUGAUUGCAUACAUGUAGGGGGAGCCUAUGCUUGUUACAUGUCUUUCCAAAGCAUUACUUGCUAUUCUCUAUAUCCUUAUCUAAAGCUUUGAUGUAUGUUGCCAUCAAUUACCAAAAAGGGGGAGAUUGAAAGCACAAGUGCUCCCUGGGUGAUUUUGAUAAUUAAUGACAACAUAUCUCUUGUUGGACCAAUACUUUUACCUAGUAUGUUUCAGACAAGUUCAACAAAUUAAGUGGCAUGGACUAAAGGAUGUGGAACCCCUUCAAGAUGCUAAGGACAAAGGAUUAGCUCAAGCUUCAAGAUCAAGACUCUACAUUUUCUAUUUUAGUGAUCCCAGAUCACAUUGAGUCUAUAGGAAAAGCCAAUACUAUCAAGAGGGGAUGAGGUGUUGCGUAAUCGCUUGCUUGCUCAAAGUGCUUAGUGAUAUGCUCCAAAACCCUCAACUACCUUCCCACAUCCACAUAUGACCUAAACCAAAAGUCAAACUCAGCCCCACCGAUUCUUUCUAUCCGGAGCCACCGAGUUUAGUUGACAUAGCCACUGCCAAAAACCCUAAUCAGCUCGGUCUCCCCGAUGGGAUCUCGGUCUCACCGAGAUGCGCUUGCAAACUCUUUGUUACCUAUUGCAAUAUUUUUGGUCCCACCGAGAUAUGCAAUCGGCCCCACCGAGUUUGCUUGGCCAACUCUCUGUUUCACUUAUUACCCAAAUUGGUCCCACCGAGUUUGAGUAAUCGGUCAAACCGAGUUUUGGAUUUACCCUAACCCUAGCACAUCGGUCCCACCGAGUUGAUCCAGUCGGUCCCACCGAAAACCCUAACGGUCACUAGAUUUGCUGAAUCGGUCCGAUCGAGUUUAUCAAUUCGGUCCCACCGAGAUUGGCAAGUUGUGUGUAACGGUUAGAUUUUGUGUGGAGGCUAUAUAUACCCCUCCACCCACUCUUCAUUCAUGGAGAGAGCCAUCAGAACAUACCUACACUUCCAAUACACAUUUUCUGAGAGAGAACCACCUACUCUUGUGUUGAGGCCAAGAUAUUCCAUUCCCACCAUAUGAAUCUUGAUCUCUAGCCUUCCCCAAGUUACUUUCCACUCAAAUCUUUUUUCCACCAAAUCCAUAUCCUGUGAGAGAGAAUUGAGUGUUGGGGAUACUAUCAUUUGAAGCACAAGAGCAAGGUGUUCAUCAUCAACACACCAUUUGUUACUUCUUGGAGAGUGGUGUCUCCUAGAUUGGCUAGGUGUCACUUGGGAGCCUCCGACAAGAUUGUGGAGUUGAACCAAGGAGUUUGUAAGGGCAAGGAGAUUGCCUACUUCGUGAAGAUCUACCGCUAGUGAGGCAAGUCCUUCGUGGGCGAUGGCCAUGAUGGGAUAGACAAGGUUGCUUCUUCGUGGACCCUUCAUGGGUGGAGCCCUCCGUGGACUCGCGCAACCGUUACCCUUCAUGGGUUGAAGUCUCCAUCAACGUGGAUGUACGAUAGCACCACCUAUCGGAACCACGACAAAAAUAUCCGUGUCUCCAAUUGCGUUUGAAUUCUCCAAACCCUUCCCUUUACAUUCUUGCAAGUUGCAUGCUUUAUUUUCCGCUGCUCAUCUACUCUUUGCAUGCUUGAUUGAUAUGUAUUGUGUUUGUUAAACUUGUGCCAAAAUUCCACUUCAACUUAAAGAAAUUAAAAACUGCAACUUUUGGUACUUAGUGUCUAAUCACCCCCUCUAGACACCUCUUCUCGAUCCUUUCACAUACCUAGUGCAUCGGGUCCAAUGAAAAUCUUUUGUGACAAUACUGGUGCAAUUUCCUUGGCAAAGGAAUCCAGAUUUCACAAGAGAACCAAGCACAUCAAGAGACGCUUCAAUUCCAUCCGCGAUCAAGUCAAGGAGGGAGACAUAGAGAUUUGCAAGAUACAUACGGAUCUGAAUAUUGUAAACCCAUUGACUAAGCCUCUCUCACGAGCAAAACAUGACCAACACCAAGACUCCAUGGGUGUUAGAAUCAUUACUAUGUAAUCUAGAUUAUUGACUCUAGUGCAAGUGGGAGACUGGAGGAAAUAUGCCCUAGAGGCAAUAAUAAAGUUGUUAUUUAUAUUUCCUUAUAUCAUGAUAAAUGUUUAUUAUUCAUGCAAGAAUUUUAUUAACCGGAAACUUAGUAUAUGUUUGAAUACAUAGACAAACAGAGUGUCACUAGUAUGCCUCUACUUGACUAGCUCAUUGAAUCAAAGAUGGUUAAGCUUCCUAGCCAUAGACAUGAGUUGUCAUUUGAUUAACGGGAUCACAUUAAUAGAGAAUGAUGUGAUUGACUUGACCCAUCCAUUAGCUUAGCACGAUGAUCGUUUAGUUUGUUGCUAUUGCUUUCUCCAUAAUUUAUACAUGUUCCUAUGACUAUGAGAUCAUGCAACUCCCGAAUACCGGAGGAACACUUUGUGUGCUACCAAACGUCACAAUGUAACUGGGUGAUUAUAAAGGUGCUCUACAGGUGUCUCCGAUGGUGUAUGUUGAGUUGGCAUAGAUCGAGAUUAGGAUUUGUCACUCCGAAUUUCGGAGAGGUGUCUCUGGGCCCUCUCGAUAAUGCACAUCAAUAUAAGCCUUGCAAGAAAUGUGACUAAUGAGUUAGUUGCAGGAUGAUACAUUACAGAACGAGUAAAGAGACUUGCCCGUCACGAUAUUGAACUAGGUAUUGAGAUACCGACGAUCGAAUCUCGGGCAAGUAACAUACCGAUGACAAAGGGAACAAGGUAUAUCGUUAUGCGGUUUGACCGAUAAAGAUCUUCGUAGAAUAUGUGGGAGCCAAUAUGAACAUCCAGGUUCCGCUAUUGGUUAUUGACCGGAGACAUGUCUCAGUCAUGUCUACAUAGUUCUCGAACCCGUAGGGUCCGCACGCUUAACUUUUGGUGACGAUCGGUAUUAUGAGUUUAUGUGUUUUGAUGAACCGAAGGUUGUUCGGAGUCCCAGAUGUGCUCACGGGCAUGACGAGGAGUCUUGAAAUGGUCGAGACAUAAAGAUCUAUAUAUUGGAAGCCUAUGUUUGGACAUCGGAAAGGUUCCGAGUGAGUUCGGGCAUAUACCGGAGUACCGAGGGGUUACCGGAACCCCCCGGGGAGUAUAUGGGCCCUAAUGGGCUUUAGUGGAGAGAGAGAGGCAGCCAGGGCAGGCCGCGUGCCCCCUCCCCCUCUGGUCUGAUUUGGAUUAGGAAGGGGGGGGGGCGCCCCCUUUCCUUCCUCCCUCUCUCCCCCUUCCUUCUCUCCUAGUCCAACUUGGGAAGGGGGGGUGGUGGAAUCCUACUACCGGAGGGAGUAGGACUCCUCCAGGACGCGCCAUAGAGGGCCGGCCCUCCCCCCUCCUCCACUCCUUUAUAUACGGGGGAGGGGGGCACCCUAUAGACACACAAGUUGAUCAAUGAUCUUUUAGCCGUGUGCGGUGCCCCAUCCACCAUAAUCCACCUCGGUAAUAUCGUAGCGGUGCUUAGGCAAAGCCUUGUUCCGGUAGCAACAUCAUCACCGUCAUCACACCGUCGUGCUGGCGAAGCUCGCCUUGAAGCUGUACUAGAUCGUGAGUUCACGGGACGUCACCGAGCCGAACGUGUGCAGAUCGCGGAGGUGCUGUACCUUCGAUGCUAGAUUGGUCGAUCGUGAAUACGUACGACUACAUCAACCAUGUUGUCAUAACGCUUCCACUUACGAUCUACGAGGGUACGUAGACAAUACUCUCCCCUCUCAUUGCUAUGCAUCACCAUGAUCUUGCGUGUGUGUAGGAAUUUUUUUGAAAUUACUGCGUUCCCCAACAGUUGUGCCUUCUCACUCUCCCCGAAAAAUUCGCUCGGUCAUAAUGGUGUUCCACACCACCUCUAGUCUCCGGUGGUUCUUUGUUCUGUACGGUGAAGCUUUGCUAGAUCAGUGAUUCCGUAUGCGUGCAUACUGGUAGGGCGCCCCCAUUUCUGUUGCGUUUGUUGGUAAUGAUACAAUCUAUCUCUUGCAUCUUCAUCAUCUUCAUAUUAAUCCUAAGGGAAUCUUCGAUGCAAGACGCUAAGAUAUGCGUUUAUGAAAAUAAAAUUAAUCAUGUAAAAUUAGAAAAUGAUUAGAGUGCCUUCCGUUUCAACGCUAGUCACUAAUAACAGGUGCUAAAAGAAACCUAGCGCUACACUCAAUUCUUUUUUUGUGUUGAUUCCGUAACAAAUGGCUAGUUUCACACAUUAUAAAAGGCCUAAGCAUCGGGUUCCUUUUUUUGCACCGAUGCUAGUGCCGACGCUAGGAUUUAGCGGCUCAACUGCCCAUCGACGAGGAUUUCGACCCUAGCACCCCUUUCUAGCGCCCUGCAUUGUGGAUUCCCUAAGCGUGUAUGUACAUACAAUAUUUUUUAUCUUAUACUAUGUUCCCCAACAAAUAAAUCACUAGGGAAUUUUUUCGUGCGGGUUUUGCCAAUGUGACCAAAUGCAGUUCCACACGCAUAGUAUUCGUAUUUGUCUUGCGACGUUUAGCGUCACAGAUGUUUAAUAUUAUCACGAAGAUUCAUGAUAUACAACCCAUUCAUAAUGAAAGUAUGACCCUUAUGUUAUUCAUAAUACCCAACAACUAUUGUUAUCUUAAAUGUACAACCUUCUUGCAACAAACAAUAUUCCAAAAUGACAUUUUUGCAAAAGGGUGGAGUGUAGUAACAUUUUAUUGAAUUCUAAAAUGAAUUAUAUAUAAAUAUAAUUAGAGAGGUAAUACACCAAUGGUGAGAACAACAACUUGACUGUGUUCCCAAACAUAUCAAAACCUCAUUAUCAGCCAGUCGUUAAGGCGGUAUUAUUUCUUGCAUCAAGUUGCAAAAGUAUGCACUCGAACCAGUAUCCUCAUGAUCAACUCUUUUAAUCACAAUAACCUUCCCAAGAAUUACAUUUUAGACCAACCUUUUAUACGUCUAUAAACUCUUCUUUCUUUCUGCCUUUAUACGUUUUAUGGUUUUACUGCCAAUGUCCCUCCUACUCAGAGAAGAAGUUCCCAACUUCAAGAGUGGUGCUAGCCUUGGACUUCUAAAUCUCACUAACACCCUUUGGACCUAUUCUUUCUCUUUAAUUUUUCAUUUUAUUCACCAUCAUCAUAUAUUUUUCAGAAAGGAGGUUGAAACCUCUGCUUUUGCAUUAGUACGAUGCACACAUCUAUUUUCUAUUAUUAAAGUUGAUGCAAGGCAAUGAUGCCAAAAACAUCAACAAGGAGAGUUCAUAACAUAUGCUACCACGUACGAACCAUUACAAGACAUGAAAUGAACACCAAAACUUCUACCGCGGAAACAUCUUCAAUAAGGAAUAAAUUCCUCAUGUCACCGUCACCAUGCCCUGUCGGAAUUGCAUUGAUGGAGUCAAAUCCAACAGAUCUUGGGUAGGGGGUCCCAAGCUGGUAGCCUUGGUGCGAUGGUAACAAAGAUACAUGUCUUACCCAGGUUGGGGCUCUCUUGAAGAGAUAACACCCUACGUCUUGUUUUGAUUGCAUUGAUUGAGAGGGUACAAAGUACAUGCUGAUCUACCACGAGAUUGUGUAUGAAUGAGUUGGCGUCUACGACCCUCACCCCUCGGCUCAUAUAGAUAUUAGGGGUGCCUAGGGUUACACAUAGAUUGGUUGCAUCUAGGAAUAAGCAUGCCUAAGAUCGCCUCCUAGUCUUGGAGUACACGCCAAGUCUUCGGAAUAUUUCGUCUUGGUUUUCCAGGGGCUUGACGAAUGUGGCCCACUGGAUGGAUAUUUUGGGGGUCCUCGGCUCGGCCCAUAUGUUUGGGAGACGAUGUGGCAAGCACCCCCUAGUCCAGGACACGAUCAGUAGCUCCUGAACCGGUCUUCAAGUUGAGGACGUUAUUUGGUCUCCCCGGUUGCCUCUGUGUUCAGUCGUCGGUCUUGCAAGCUGGUUCAAUGAGCCUCCCAUCUUUUCUUAUGAAGUGGUCAUGUUUUGGACGAGAAGUAUUGUUCCUUAGGUUCUAAGGAGUCCUCCAAAAUUUCAUCAAAACCUUUACUCGGAGCCUUUAUCGCAUCUGAGGAGAUCCUUAGGACGAAGGGUCUCCCGUCGAGUACUUUCGCCUUGAAGGCAAAGCUAAUGUCCGCCGAGGACUACACAUACCUUGGCAAGUCUAGGGUACAAGGGAGAGGGAGAGGAUGUCCACGGGUUUUCCAUGACAAUGUUGAGUGCCUUGGGUCAACUAGAAGUAGCUAGGUGGCAAGGGGAGAGCUGGGAGGGUGAGAAAGACAAUAAAUGCUCACUGUCCAGAAGUUAGGUAGGUCCAUUUGGACUUUUUAGGAAUUAGGCACCUCAAAUUCAAACACACCAUGGUAAAAAUUUAGGGUAAUUCAGAGAAACUUUGUUUCACAAAACUUUUAAAAUAAGUUUUUAUAUAAAGUGGAAAAGUGGAUGAUCUUCAUGUCAAAUGAAUGAUCGGGAUGCUUAAACUUGGCAUGAUAGAUAUUUGACAACAAUUACAUCCCCAGGAAUUAUUUGGAACUUUAUAGAGAAAGUUCCUGGUGUAAAGUUUUAAACCCUAGAAAUGGGCAUAACUGGAUUUUGUAGAUAUAGUCAAAUAUUUGAACAUGACCAUGGGUUUAAACUCAUAUAUAUAUAGAAACUAUAUGUCUCCCGAGCUUCCCUAAAUUUUCUCAAAUACUUCUAAGACAAAAAUAUUUUUCCCUAUUAAAGACCAUUUAUGGGUUUGACAAAAGCCUUUUAAUAAAAUACUAUUAUACUUUUUGAAAUGAUAUUUUUUUGGUUUUGGGAUGUCCUAUAACUAUUAGGAUCCAAAAAUAUCUUUGCAAGGUUUUUGUUCCACUUAAAUCAAUGGCUUGCAAUUCAGUACUGGAGUAGAAUGGUCAUAGGAUUUUUCCUAAGUCCUAGAGAACUUUUAACAAGCAAAAGAUCCAACUCAAAUUCAAACAAGAGAAAAUAAAAUUUUCAAAUAAGAAGCAAAAUUCCAACUCAAACAUAAUUAAGGAUCCGAACGACACUAUUAUCUCGAAGUUAUUAGGAGGCAAAAUUUCGGAUGUUACAUGUCCUCAAGCGAUUCAGUUGAUAAAUUGAAAGUGAUAAAGAAAAACUUUUACAAACUCAUUUGCUUUUUUUGGAGUACAUAACUUUAACUAGCAAUCGAGUUUUAGCCAGGAUCAUGGAGUAACCACAUAUAUGAUAACACUUAGCAGCCACAUUUACUUACAUCAGUAACAUAACCAACUAGAGAGCAAUAAUACUAUAUCUCAAACAUCAACACUUUGUCAGAAUAACCAUGGCACAACAUGAUAGAAUGGUAUCUCGCUAGCCCUUUCUAAAACCACAAAACAUAAAUCCAGAGCACCUCUGAAGUUCAAGUAGCGACUAAAACAUCAUAAUACAACAUAGAAAGCAUCCAAUCAUGCUCCAUUCAACAUAAAUUAGACCAAAUGCAAGUUAAACUAAGAAUGACGGUUGCGCUCUCUAUGUUGGUGUUUGAAUGAGAAGGUGAUGACUCAACAAUAAAAAUAAAGGGCCCUUCGUAGAGGGAAUCAAGGAUUUGCAAUAUGCCAUAGCUCGUAAACUGAAAAAGAGUUAAUUUGUCUUGGGAAGUAUGCUUUUCUCGCCGACGGUUUACGAAAAAGGUUUCCAACAUCUUCCAUGCUAAACACAUUAAUGGUGGUUCCCAUGCAAAAAAUUUAUACUCCCCCUCCACCAUAUUAACACAAACCAUGGCAAGCCAAAUCCUCGGGUGCCUGCCAACAAUCAAAUGUCUGGGGGACUGUUUUUAUAAAUAAUUUAGGACUGGGCAUCCUUGCUACCAGCCUCCCUCAUAAGUGAUGAGCGAUUAAACUCUCGUCGUGAGUGAAACAUAAUUAUCAUGGAAGAUAUUGACUACCCCACCACUCCAUGCACUACUAGAGAAAACCCUAGUAGUGGCGCGAGUUUAGAGGCUAUCAGUAGCGCGGCGGUCCGCGCUACUGCUACAAGUAACUUUUAGCUGUAGUGUGAUUUUAUCCAGUGCUACUGCUAUGUAUACAUAUCAGUAGCGCGAGUCUAACCAUCACUACUGCUCAUUAUUUGUGGCAUGGCCGCAUCACCCACACUACUGCUAAACAAGCGUUGCUGCUACUCCAUUACCCCUCAUUGCUACUAAGAUUUUCUCUAUUCAUUUUCUUCUGCUGUAUUUGUAUUUUUAUAGGUUUAAUACAAUUACAACAUACACAUAUAUUUAAACUAUAUGAAAAAAGAAUGUCUCAUCAUCAUCAUCGAAGUGGUACAACAUAGUCUCAUCAUAUCAUCAUUAUCCAACACAAAUGAUGUCGAUCUCAUCAUCAUCUUGAAAUAGCAAUACAAGUUAUCACAUGUCUCCUACAUGGUCAUCGCAUACACAUGUUUUAUCAUCUAUCUAAACUAUGACAUACAACAGAAGAGCGUGAACCUCAAGUAACUAGCUUCGGCUCCCCUUCUCCUAUCAAACCCUUUUUGGCUUCCGUCCAGGAAGCGGUAUGUAACGACCCGAGACCGACGCUCCAGAAGCCUUCCAUGCUCUUCGUUGCCGUCGUGUGUUUUAUUUUUGUUGUUGUUGCAUUUCAUCAUGUCAUCAUGCAUAUUGCAUCCGCUUGUUUUCAUAAAACUCACAUCCGUUCAUAGUUGCUGGUCCUCACUGUUCUCGUCGUUGACCAUUCUGAGACCAACCGGGUUUUUGGUUCCCUUGCCCUUUUGUCAUACCCCCUCGUGCGCGUCCGAAACUGUCCCAAACCUGACCCGCUCAGUCAUCACCUUUGGAUUUGGAUCAUCUCCAAACAACCCUAAAACAUCUUCAGUUAUUUAUUGGACUUCCCUAGUAUCUUCUUUCUCGACCACCCGAUCUAGAUCGGAUGAUCCAAAUUCCUCUCUUUUCGUUAUAUAUAGACCACUUGCUUGGCUAACCCUAAAAACUAGGUCAUUUGUACCCCUAGCCGGCGCCACCCAUCAAAUCCAUCCAUCUGCAGCGCCACCCACCUCCCUAGUUUUCUUCACUGGACCAAUCCCGCAGCCUCCUCCCGAUCCACCAGUCAGCCACCACCAUAACCUUCCAAAUCCAUCGAUCCACCCAACCACGCGUCUUGCUCCUCCUGUGCACCCCGACUUCGCCCGCCGCGCCUUAUCGGACCGGCCUCGCUGGAGACCAGCGCCGUUCCACCUCUCCAGCAGCGCCCUCAGGCCCCGAGUCCCGUGCCCUUCGCUGCCUCCCGUGCACCUCUGCUCAUGCCUGAGCACGGACACCUCACUGUCUCCUUGCCUUGCUCACGUCCGCGCAGUAGCAGCACAUCCCCGAGCCUCAAUCCGGUCGUCGCCGGCGCGCCACUGCUGGAGCACCAGCAGGACCCUCUCGCUCCCCUUUCUCUCUCUGCCUUCUUUCCCUUCCCCGUUCUCAAACUCUCUCUGUCUCGUUUUGGACAGGGAACUGAAGGAGGCCGCCAUGGCCUCGGAGUUUCACCACCGUCGGGGUUCCUCGUCACCAGGAACUGCCUCCCCGACCCUCAAACUGCCCGGAUCCGCCGCGCCCGCUGGUCCCCUGCCCCUGCAUUGUGCCUCUGCCCGCCUUCUGCUUUGCCACAACCUGCUGCUGCUUUUGUUGGUAACGAGCAGCAGGGGCUUGCUCGUACCGAGCGUUGACCGCGCCCCCUCCACCUCCUCGUUUGACCCAGCCGAGACCGUGACCAAGCCCAGCUCCUCAGUCGGCCUGCUACCUCUUCCACCAACUGGGUCGAGCCCAUGGCGAGCCACCGCAAACCCAGUGCCCUGCAAGAUGCGGCCCUCAGUUCCUAUUUUUUAGUUCUGUGAAUUUAUUUAUUUAUCCAGAGUUUGCAGUUUUACAGAAAAAACCUCAUUGUUCAUGCAUAUAAUAACUCAACAACCGUGCAUCGUAUUAAAAUGCUUAAACAUGUAAAAUGCUUAGAAUUUCAUCUAUUUUCAUAUUGUCCAACUUUCAUCCAUGUUAAAAUGCUUAAAAUGAUGUUUGCAUUUAAUUUUCUAAAUGUCAUUAAAAUGGUUUAAUUCAUAUCUAAUUAACGGUAGCUCCGAAUUAAAUAAAGUUUAUAUGUAAAUGGGGUAGAAAAAUGCAUAGACUAACAUGGUGCACUUACUUUGCAUGUUUAACAAUAAUAAAAUAUGGCUUAGGGCAGAACAGUACCAAAUUCGAAAAUUGCAUAUGGGGAUUUUUCGGAAUUGUUGUUUGUUGUUCCGGCCUCAUUUAAUCUUACCUAGAUAGGUAGUAUUAUUAUGCUUCACCUCUCGCCAUGUUAACCAACAUUUAAUAUUGAUGUGUAGCAUAAACGAGAGUGAAUUACAUAUUUGAAUGUGGUGUUUCGUCAAUAUGCAACUCGUUGCAUAUUGAGCCCCACUUAAUUUGUAGUAUUGUUUGUUGCACUUUGCCAUGCCAUGCCUCACUAAACCGAACAUGCAUCAUACUUGAUUGUGCAUCAUGCCAUGUUUAUGCUAGUGUCUUUACCAUGUUGUUUGCUUCUUUCCGGUUGUGCUUCUUCUCAAUAGUUCCGGUUACGUUGCGAUUGUGAGGAUCCGUUCGACUAUGUUGGUUCGUCUACUUCAUGGAUUCGGUCUUCUUCCUAGCGGGAUUUCAGGCAAGAUGACCGUUACCAUGGAUACCACUACUAUCUUUGCUUGCUAGUUGUCUCGAUGCUAUCGCUAUGUCGCACUACCCACCACUUGUUUAUCAAGCCUCCCAAUAUGCCAUGAAACAACCACUAACCUUUUAAUCUUCCUAGCAAACCGUUGUUUAGCUAUGUUACCACUUUUCUCAGCCCCUCUUAUAGCCUUGCUAGUUGCAGGUGCAGUUGCAGGUUGUUCCAUGUUGGGACAUGGAUAUCAUGGGAUAUCACAAUAUCUCUUAUUUAAUUAAUGUAUCUAUAUACUUGGUAAAGGGUGGAAGGCUCGACCUUUUGCCUGGUGUUUUGUACCACUCUUGCCGCCCUAGUUUUCGUCAUACCGGUGUUAUGUUCCUUGAUUUUGCGUCCCUAAUAGAGAAAAUUCCUUAUUUAACACUAUCUUAAAAUCUGCUUCCUUAUUUGACACAGGAAAAGUUUUUCUUCCCUAUUUGACACAAGUUUUAAAUUUUAUUCCCUAUAUGAUAUUUCCGUCCAUUUUAAGCCUAAAAGGCACCUGAAAAGACUCUUUUGCCCCUCAUGUGGUAUGUGUGUGGGGGUAAUAGCGCACACACGCAGCAUCAAUGCGAGGGUAGGAGCACACACGCGACAACACAUACACAUGCACCAACACACAUGCACGCGCACACACACACACGCAACAACACACAUGUGUGCGUGCACACACACAAGCACACACACGCAGCAACACACAUGCACGCACACACACACGCACGCAACACACACACACACACGCAGCAGCAACAGCAACACACACGCAGGCAGCACAUAGGCACGCAACAGCACACACACGCGCGCGCACGUACACACGCAGCAGCACACAUGCACACACACAUGCAGCAGCAACACACAUGUGUGCGUGCACCCACACACGCAACAGCAUACACGCGCGUGCACAGACAUACCGCAUGAGGGGCAAAAUCGUCUUUUCAGGUGUCAUUUAGGCUCAAAAUGGACGGAAGUGUCGUAUAGAGAAUAAAAUUUAGGACUAGUGUCAAAUAGGGAAGAAAAACUUUUCCAAUGUCAAAUAAGGAACCAGAUUUUAAGAUAGUGUCAAAUAAGGAAUUUUCUCUCCCUAAUACGGUUGGGGUUUAUGGGCCCCCUUGACAUUUCGCUUUGAAUAAAUCUCUUCCAGCAAGGCCCAACAUUGGUUUUACCAUUUGCCUAAUAACAACUAAAACUUGCAUAGGGACUUACCGGUACCAGAGGAUAAUUAAUCAACAACCCGGGCCAGUGCUCCUCAUGAGUGUUGGUCCAAAAUGGGCAGACUGCGGGGCCACCACGGGGCAACUCGAGGAUUGGUUUUACUCAUAGGCUGACCUAUCCGAUCGUGGCCUGAGACGAGAUACACGCGGCUACUAUCAGGGUGUCGGCACGUCGGGAGGUCUUGCUUGUUUUAUUUUACCAUUGUCAAAUGUCUUGUGAACCGGGAUUCCAAGCUUGAUCGGGUUGUUCUGGGAGGAGGAUUUUCCUCCGUUGAUCGUGAGAGUUUGUGAUGGACUAAGUUGGGACACCCCUGCAGGGUUUAAACUUUCCAGAGCCGUGCCCGCGGUUAUGUGGCAGAUGGGAAUGUUUAAUAUCCAGUUGUAGAGAACUUGACACCGGAUCUGAAAUAACAAUACACCAACCGCGUGUGUAACCGUGACCGUCUCUUUUCGAGUGAGUUCGAGAAGAGAACACGGUAGGGUUAUGUUUGAACGUAAGUAGUUCAGGAUCACUUAUUGAUCAUUACUAGUUUGUGACUGUAUGCGUAGUUACUCUUCUUACUCUUGUACUCGUAAGUUAGCCACCAUACAAUGCUUAGUCCUGCUGUAACCUCACCACUUAUCCAUUCCAUACCCAUUAAGCUUUGAUAGUAUUGAUACCCAUGGUAAUGGGAUUGCUGAGUCCUCAUGGCUCACAGAUUACUACAACAACAGCUGCAGGUACAGGUAAUGUGAUGGCCUGACGUGAGUGCGAUGCUUGGUUGUUUGGAGUUCUUCCGCUUCUUCUUCGAUCAAGGGAUAGGUUCCGGGUCGGGAGCCUGGGAUUAGGAGGGUGGAUGCCGUUCUUUUUUUGUUGUAUUCCAUCCGUAGUCGGAUCCUGCUCUUCUGUAUGAUGAUUGCUAUGUUUUGAAUUUUUUAUGUCGUAUUCAUGUUGUAGCUUGUGGUGAGUGUAAGCCUUUAUCUUGUAUUCUCAUCUAUUCAGUACAUGGUAUGUUGCAAUGAUAUCCACCUUGCUAUGCGCUCGAAAUGCGAUUGUGCCCCAAUCAUGAAUUCACCACGUGAUUGGGAUAUAAUCACAUCUUGGGCACUACAAGUUGGUAUCAGAGCCUUACCGACCUUAGGAGCCCUCUUGAUUGAUCGAACUGCUGCUGUUGUCGAGUCUAGAAGAAAACUAUUUUGAGUCUAGCUAUAUAUCAGAGAGUAGGAAUUCUUUUUACUCCUUAUCCCCUUCGUCGCUCUGGUGAGGACUCCUGACGUAGAUGUUUUGACUUCACUCUCCUCUUUUUCACUCAAAUUUUUUUAGGAUCACGCGGGUAUUGUGGAAUCGGUCCUAUAUCAUUGUGACGGGAAUUUUGUCUUGGUGCCUCCUGACAUUUAGGGGUUGUGGCAGUGUCCCAAUGAGUUGAGCUCCAAGGUGUUUUCAUCACAGUGUUUAUCAUUUCAGUUCCGGAAUACCAAAGGACGCCGACAUCGAAAACGCUUCUAUACUCUUUGUGGUGAGAGUAGUUUGGCACCACCCAAUACUGGGGAGAGCGAUCAGAUGUAUUGCCACAGCUAGUAUAUCGGAUUUUUUUCAAAGGUCUGAGGUACAUGAUUUCCGAGGUUUUCUUGGUUAUGUGUUGACGGAUGGAUACAAUUGGAGUGUAGGAUGUGUUAGUUGUGUGAUAUAUUUGUGCCUCCCUGUAUCCCCAACACCAGAUUGCAU